CAGAUGCUCCACAUCAAACCCACAGAGAAGGCAAAUUUGCUGCUAGUGCAGAAAAGCUGACGGAAGAAUUGCUGUUAACAGAUCGUGCCCUGUUCCUGAACUGGUCCCUUGAUAUGUUUUUGUUUCAGAGUGUUGAUGGCAUUUUGUCCCGUGGCACAAUCCCCAUUCCGUUCAGUGGAGUCUUCAGUCUAGGACUUUUAAGUAAAAAAGUUUGUCCUUCCAAAAAGGGACUAGUCAUUCAUAGGACCGAGGCAUAGACUUGGAGAGUCGCUUAAGUACGUGAUCGGAAUGAAAGCCAACUUUCAGUUGAUGUUGCUGCUGUUGGUCUUUGCUUUCAUUGAUUUCUCCACCACUCCCUCAUGGUUGGGAGCUCUGAAUCGUAAUGUUUUUCGGUCUCUAACACAUUUCCACACCCACCCCCAAAAAAAGGAGAGGCAGUGUCUAAAAGUUAAUUAGUUUCCUCACAAAUGCGUGAGUAAAUAAAAUUUGAGUUAUGAUGAUUAAAACCAUAAAAAUGACACCAGUCUUGCAGAUCUGGACUAUUUCUGAACAGGCAUUCAUCACACGCAGAAGUCGUCAGGGUACGGAUCACCUGCGCUUCAUGCUCUGACAAGACAAAAUGCUGAGGCAGGGAUGAGCUCUGAAAGAA